CACACCUCGUGCAGGAGAUUGCCAGCUGGGAAGAGGCAUUUCAGGGACACUUCAGGUUUCCGAGGCUUGGGAAGUAGUGUGUGAAAGCACCUCCUCACUCCUAAGACAGCAAACCAUCUUUACCAUCGUACAGUUUCUUGCACUUGGAGGGAUUUGUCUGGAGGGUUCCUAUUCCAGACAGGUUUCUGGAAAAUUUCUUUACCUCUUAUGAAGAUCCUCUGAUCCCAGCCAUGGGAACUCACCUUGGUGCAGCUGCAGCAGGAGCUGUCAUUUGCAGGGGAGACUGGAUACACAGACUUUGCCAUCAGAACCUGAGGCUUGAAGAGUGUGUCCCUUCCACAGGUCUCCUCUCCACCAACUCACCUCCCUCCCUGUCCUCAAUUGAAGACAGCUGCCAGGAAAUAUUUCUGCUGUUUAGCUGAAGUGAAAACACAUGGAGGUGGUAGGGGGGAAAGAAGGGCAGUGUUUAUAAUGUAAUUACUGUCAUUUUGUGAAACUUGGGUUGAGCUGGGGAGAAGGGUGUGUUGAGCACGGGGAUGCAUCUGUGCACAGGGUGAGAGCCCCAGAGAUGGUGGCUGAAGUGAAGCACUACAGCCCUCAGUGGUCCCCGUGAAGAACAGGCUGCUCCUGGAGCACAGACACCAGUUCAUCCCAGGCUCUGCAGGAACUAAGAUGAAAGCAAAAAACCAGCUAGCAGAAAUUAUCAUCUCUGCAGACUCUAAUGGUACUGAAAAUUAAAAAUCUGCUCCAAACAAAGAAGAAAAAGCCCAACAACAAACAAAAAACCAAACAACUGCUGCAAAGAAACAAAACUUCUUCCUGUGAGUUGCUUUUUGGCCGUGAAGGGCUUCUGCUGUGAGAAAAAAGUUCCUCCAUGAAGAAGGGUGCAGAGCCUGGUUUGCUCAGAGCCAUUUUCCUCAUCAUCUGAACAAAAGGUGAAGACUUGUUGUAGAUGCCUUGCUGGUUUGAACUGAGCUUGUAGAAGCAAGAAUCUCAUCCAUGCCCAGCUCUAUCCAUUUCUGGCCGGUGGCAAUGGAGUGGCUCAUGUCCACAGUUCCUGCCUCGGGUCAAAGAGGCUCAUGGUCUAUUGCAAUGAGACCACAUUGUGCCCUGUGAGGAUUCCCCACAUACUGUGAGCACUGUGUGUCUGUUGCAGAGUGGUGCUGGGAAAACUCUGUGAGGAGCUUUGCCCACGUACGGAUGUCCCUGAGAAAGGCAAAGUGCCCGUGCCAGCUCGAGGCUGACCAAGGUGCAGUCUUGCCACACCCGCUUGUAACUGAUCAAUUGAUCCAGUGCCACGUGCUAGAUGUGAAACUUUUUCAUUGCACAGAGGAGUUUCAGCCGCUUGGGGAGGUUAUAUACGAGUUCUGUUUGCUCCAGUUCUUUGGAUGUUUGUGCUGAAGUCCCUAACCGCCCUGGAAGACCUGUUAGAAGCAACAGGAGUGUGUGGUUACUGUCCUUGCAAAGAAUUUCAUCAUCCUCCCCGAGGAAAGUGGGAUACAGCCUCAAGCUCAGGGUAUGGAGGGCGUUCUAAGAGUCACCAGCCGGUGAAAUCACUCCUGAUUGCAAGACAGGGAGGGAAUGUUGGAGGAGAAGAACUGGAAAGGCGUCGAUGAAGCAGCUUUUGACAGAGGGUGUGUGGCCCCCCCCAGGACCGGCGAUGGGGAGAGAUGCUGCCGCCUCCCUCUCCUGCUGGGCUCGGGGCUGCCCGGCAUCUCCCUGCUCUCUCUGGUGCUGAGCCUCCUGCUGUACUUUCGGACCUCCGAUCUGCAGUCCCGGGUGUCCCACUUGGAAGCGGACAGACCCACACAGCUCCCUGCCUGGCUCUCAGCAGACCAAAUGGAGACAGCUAUUUUGGGAAGAGUUGACCAACUGCUCAAUGAGAAAUUAAAGUUCCACUUGCCAAGACAUCGAGAAGUUCGAGACACGCACCAGCGAUGCAACUGCCCGGCAGGUAGGGAUCUAGGACAGCUGGCACUUUGGAAGGACCUUUUUUGUCUACAUCUCAUUGAAGGAUUUUUUUAAUGCAGU